AUGCUUAUUGAUUUCUUCAACAGAAUUUAGGUUGAAAUUUCUAGCUUAUUUGGUUUUGAUAUGCUUUUGUAUUUGAAAAAAAAAAGUAGCAAACAGUCUCAGUCUAUUAGGGAUCGAGACUGUUUAUAGAAAUUGUGAAUUCUGAUUGAUUAGUUUCUUCAUUUGCGCAAGCUAUGGUCUAAACCCCUUUGUUGUGUUGCAUUUUAUGAGUAACAAAGCCUUUUACAUUAGGGAAAAAGUGAAAUAGUCAUAUGCUUUACAAAGUGGUGAAUUUUCCCUUUGUGAAAAAAGUUAAUCUCAUGUCUGUAUGUUUACAACUCUCUAUUGAAUUGAUAUCCUUCUCCUUUCUCUAUCUCUAAACCAUAUAUAUGUGCUUGACGAUGUUAUUUAAUUUUCUCUAUUUCGGAAGUUCACAUAUAUAGAAAAGAAUUAAAAGCUACUAAUUGUAAUGCAUUUACCACCCGAUUCACAAUUUACCUUAUGCCCACUAAUAAGAGGAGUGGAGAGAGCUCUGUCCUAGAUAGGGUUAGCAGUUUGCCUUGUGAUCUUCUUGAGAAGAUAUUAGGAUGCUUGCUUUUGAAUUAUCCCAAAAUGGAGGUAUAAGUGGUUAAUACUUUCCGAACUAGUGUUUGAUGAGAACGUUGGCAAAGGACGACUUCUGAAAAUUUGAAUGGAAUUUUGAAGCAUGUAUUGUCAUUGCAACUGCAUUUGAGAAAAUUGGUGUUGUAACGAGAGCUGGGAAUGAAAAUGACGGACGAGAUGAAGCAAUUCCCUCGAGCAUUACCCAUUGUAGAGUUUAUAUACCAAGAAGUUGAUAUUCAUUUUUGAAAUAUCUAGGUAAACGACUCACCAUUGAGAUUAUUCAAUUUUUUUAGCUUCUUUGUGUGAUUUGUUUCAUCUCUUCAAAAAGGAAACAAUUAUACCCCUAAACAACAAACCAGCGCGUAACGACUGAAAAGUCGUUCUUGCUUCUGCUUGCAUACUCGAAUAUCUCUCUUUCGUCUCUCAUCCCUGUCUCAAUUCUGAUAGAUCAGUUUCUUCCUUCGUUAAAGCUACUAUUUGUGAGUAACAAACACUUUCCUAUCGCAGAUCGAGUGAAAAGUCUACUGUAGUACUAUCAAGUGGUUUGAAACAGGGAUACGAAGUGGUGAAUUUCCCUGUUUAUCUACCUGUUAACCUUUAGAAUUGUGUGGAUUAGACAUAUUUCUUGAGGAUUACAACUAGUAGGCUUCGCAAACCCUUUGAAAUCAUGUGGAGGGAGGAAGCAUUUCAACAGAAACAACUUUUAGCGGCAUUAAUUACUGACAUUAAUAAAGAGAGAUAAAGUCUUUACCGAUAUUAUUUAAGUGUCAUUAGAACCAAUGUCGUUAAAGAGUUUAGGAACAUAUACAAAGAGUGUCAAUUGCCACAAAAAAUACUUAUUAAGCGGCAGUUGAGAAUUAAUUGCCGCUAAUGUCAUUUUUGUUGUAGUGAAGAAGCACACAUCAAGUUCCAGAUGUCUUAGUUGCUUGAAUGUAAAGAGAUAAGAAGGUAAAUGAUAUUUGUUGUCUGAGAAUAUAUGAAAUGUGAAUUCCUAGACAUUUUUUUUUGAAAAUUAUCAAAAAGACACGUCAAAUUAGGACACCGGACUGUAAACUUUAGUAUUGGUCCUUGAUAUAGUCGUAGGACUUGGUAAAUGAUUGUCUUGGUUUCUUGAUUGUUGUUGAAAGAUCUGAAAAAUUAACUGCGAAAAUCAAGUUUUGCACGUAUUACUCAUUUGUACCUCUAGUUUUUUGACAAGAUAUUGGUCUUCACUGUAUCUUUCAAAAGACAAGCUCCCUAGAAUUUUAUCUAGGACAUUACACACAACAAAUUGUUCAUUGUAGCACUCUCCAUGGUUUAAUACACAAGUUUGUAAACAACUCUAAUAAUUCAAAUCUGAAAUAAAGAAAAUAUCCAAAUUCUCAUAAUUACACAUUUCAACAAUAUAGACAUAGUCUUUUAUAACUACUGGUUAACAUUUUCGAUUGCAUAGAAGUUUAUCAUUUUACCAAUAUAGAAGGGAUAAAAUAAUUAAUGAUGAAUGAGAGAAUACCUGAAAAAUGUUGGUUAGAGACAAUAAUGGUGAAAACAUGAUUUUAAUCUAGGAGAUUCAAUAAUGUGUGUGUAUAUAUAUAAAAGGAUAUUCCAUUUCAAUACAUAGUGGUUUUUUUUUGGCGAGGGGGACUAGGAAGUAGGAAACUCUUUCCAUUUCUAGAAAAAAGAUCUUGUAAAUAUCGAUUCUUUGCAAUUGGCAAAACCUUCAUUGGAUCAAUUAGCUCUUGCUCAUUUUAGGAAUGUCGGCUAUUUCCAUUUUUUAAAAAGAUUUAUAGAAAUCUAUACUUAAAAUAUGAGGUAUCUACUCUUGCAAUUAUUUUCACCAAAUCCAUCCUGAUUACUAUCUGUAUAAGAUCGUAAGAAAUCAUGAAUAGACCCCAAAAUUAAUUAGGAGUUUCGCCCCUACGACUUUUGUCUAGUGUAAAGUGUGUGCAUGGAUUAGACAUAUAUCUCGCGUUUCAGUUUGCAACCAAUGAAACCUACUAUUUAAGUCGAGAAGAAUAUACAGCCAAAUUAUAUUCUUCUCAGCUUAAAUAGUAGGUUUCAUCCGUUGAAAACAAAGAUGUAUGCAUAAUCCACGCAACACACUUACGACUAGACAAAAAUCCUAGGGGCGGAUCUUCCAAGAAUUUUGGAGCCUAUUUAUGCACACUUCAAUCUUUUUAUAAUCUUAUUGUAAUCUGUGGCUUUUGGUAAAAAAAAUUCUCGAGUAAAUUUCUCAUAUGUUAAGUAUAGAUUUCUAUAAAAUCUUUUUCUAGAAAUUGAAAUAGUUGCCUGACGUUACAAAAGAUAGAAAAUGAGGUAAUUGCUUUAGUGUAGGUUUUGUCAAUUGCAAGAAUAGAUUUCUUCAUGAUUUUUUUCUUGCAAUGGGAAUAAAUUCUUGGCGCCCCCUCGCCAAAAAAUGUGAUGCGUAUAUAGGUGAAAUAUCCUUAUAUUGGUGUAUAUACAUAUACAUUAUUGAAUCUUCUAGAUUGAAUUCAUAAAAUCACCAUUGUUGUCUCCAAUCAACAUUUUCCUCAUACUCUUUCAUUUGUCAUUAUUUUUCCCUCCAAUAUUUGCAAAAUGAGAAACCUCCAUGCAAUUGAAAAAGUUGAACUAGCUAGUAGUUAUAAAAGACUAUGUAUACAUUGUUGAAAUGUGUAUUUAUGAGAAUUUGAAUAUUUUCUUUUAUCCAGAUCUGAAUUAUUAGACUACAAACUUGUGUAUAAACACGAAAAGUGCUACAAUUUGCAUAGUAAUGUCCUGGAUAAAAUUUUAAGAAGCUUGCCUUAAAAGAUGCAGCGAAGAGCAGUAUCUUAUCAAAAGACUGGAGGAAUAAAUGGGUAACACGUGCACAACUUGAUUUUCUUAGUGAGCUUUUCACUUCUUUCAACAACAAUCAAGUAGUGAAGAUAGUCAUUUUACGAGUCCAUCAAGGACCCAUACUAAAGUUUACCGCUCCAAGACUAUUCUUAUAUCCCCCUAAUUUGACGUGUUAUCUUGAUAUUUAUUACUGGAUGUUUAUGUCCAUCACUUUGCUCUUCAAAUAUUCUCAGGCAACAAAUAUCAUUUACCUUCUUAUUUUUUUUACAUUCCACAAACUAAGAUAUCUAGAACUUGAUAUGUGCUUCUUCCGCCCUCCACCUAAUUUCAAAGAGUUAACAAAACCUGUUAGUCUUAAUCUUCAAAGUGUCAUUUUUUAUCCAACAAUAUUUAGGUUCUCGCAUCCAAAUGGCCAUUGAUUGAAAGUUUGAGGUUGACUAGGUGCACCGAAUUUGAUAUUCUUGAAAUUGAUGCUGCCAAUCUCAAAUGCUUCGGCUUUUUUGGAACAUUAAAGUCCAUUUGCUUAAAGAAUGCCCCGAUACUUAGAAGUGUCAUUGUGUGGCUCAACUCAGGUCAUGAGUUUUGGUGGGGAUCCGUUACCUUUUUGUUCUAAUCUUACAAAGUUAUUCCAUUUACAUGCCAUCCCCCAGAGGAGUUGGAACUAGGCGGUUCAUCAAUAGAGGUAAUGUACAUUUAUAGUAUAUAAAGGAAAGUUGGUACAUAUCUUGUUCAAAUGUUUCAUCUUUGACUAAUUUUUAACUUGCUUCUAGUACUUGGCCAUGGGAGGUAUACCUGAGAAUCUACCGAUUGCUCUAAACAAUGUCAAAUCUCUCUGUAUUUUGGAUAUGUCUUUCAGAAAUAUAAUGUUGACGAGGUUUCAAGUACAGGUUACGUGAUUACAAGCUGUGCUAAAUUACAAGAAGUUACAAUUGAAUGUGGAGUUGUAGGGAUUGCUGUGGAACCUGUUAUACAAUUAUUACAAGCUAAAUCAUUCUCAUGUGGUGCUGUGAAGCUGCUUCAAAAUGUGGAGAUGCAUUAUUUUAUUGGUUUUGAGAUGGAAAUUGAAUUUGUGAAGUCUAUAUUGGCAUCUGCACCUGUACUGAAGGAGAUCUUUAAUGGAUGAGAUGAAACUAUUCCAUCGAGAAUCACCCUACGUUAGAUUCAAAUUUGAAGAAAUAUGUACAGAUUGAUGAGAUGAAACAAUUUAUUUAUGUACGCGUGCAUCACAGAAUGUUAAAGUUCAAGUCGGAAGAACUUGGUAUAAACGUAGUGAUAACUGCGGAAUCUUUGUAAAGGUGCUCGUCUCAAGUAGAGUAGUACUUCUUAUAAAUUUUGUAAAAUGGAGUAUUUUACUUGUUUAUAUAGUAAUGAUAUAGUCCAUGAAGCUCUUUUCGACAUUCAGGUACAAUGAAUUUCUGUUAUGCUUUUGGAAUAUGAAAUGUGAGGUACUAGCAUAGAAAGUAAUUAUAACCCUAAGCAACAAUCCAGCGCACAACGUCUGAAAAGCCGUUGUUGCUUGCUGUUUUGGAAACUCAAAAAUCUCUUUUUGGCCUCUCCUCUCUGUCUCAAUUCUGAUAGAUUAGCUUCUUCCCUUGUGCAAGGUACUAUUUCUGAGUAACACAUUUUUCUAUCAAAGGUCGGGUGAAAAGUCAAAUGACUAUCAAGCGGUUUGAAACAGGGGAAAUAUAUUACAAAGUGGUGAAUUUUCCCUGGUUAUCUACAUGUUAACCUUUAGAAUGUUAUAUUCCUUUGUGAAAAAAAGCUACUCUCAUGAUUCUAUAUUUACCACUAUAAUUUGUCUAGUGGUAAGUGUGUCGCCCCUGUUGUGUGGAUUAGACAUACAUCUUGAAAAUUAUGACUAAUAGGCUCCGCAAACCCUUUGAAAUCAGGUGGAGGGUGGAAGAAGCACAUAUCAAGUUCCAGAUGUCUUAGUUGCUACAAUGUAAAAAGAUAAGAAGGUAAAUGAUAUUUAUUGUCUUAGAAUAUUUGAAGGGUGAAUUCCUAGACAUUUUUUUGACAAGAAGAGCAUCUAGUAAUAAAUAUCAGGAAGAUAUGUUGAAUUAGGACAUUGGACUGUAAACUUUUGUAUUGGUCCUUGAUUUAGUCGUAGUACUUUGAAAAUGAUUGCCUUGGCUUCUUGAUUGUCGUUGAAAGAUGUGAAAACUAACUACGAAAAUCAAAUUAUGCAUGUGUUACCCAUUUGUACCUCUAGUCUUUUGACAAGAUGCUGGUCUUCAAUGAUCUUUCAAAAAACAAGCUCCGUAGAAUUUUAUCCCGGACAUUACACGACAAAUUGCUAAUUGUAGCACUUUUCAUUGUUUAAUACACAAGUUUGUAAGCAACUCUUGUAAUUCAAAAUCUGAUAUAAAGACAAUAUCCAAAUUCUCAUAAGAGUGCUAUAAUUUGCAUAAAAAUGUCCUGGAUAAAAUUCCAAGGAGCUUGCCUUUGAAAGAUGCAGUAAAGACCAGUAUCUUGUCAAAUGAAUGGAGAAACAAAUGGGUAACAUAUGCACAACUUGAUUUUUUUAGUGAGUUUUUCACUUCAUUCAACAACAAUCAAGUAGUCAAGACACACAUUUACCAAGAAUUCAUCAAGGACCAAUAUGAAAGUUUACCACUCCAAGAUUAUCCUAAUAUCCCCUUAUUUGACGUGUUAUCUUGAUAUUUAUUACUGAAUGUUUUUCUUGUCAAAGAAAAAUGUCUAGGGCUUUGUCUUUAAAUAUUCUCAGGCAACAAAUAUCAUUUACCUUCUUAUAUUUUUAUAUUCCACCAACUUAGACAUCUAGAACUUGAUAUAUACUUCUUCCACCCUCCACUUGAUUUUAAAGGGUUAGCAAAGCCUAUUAGUCUUAAUCUUCAAAGUGUCAUUUUUGAUCCAACAAUAUUUAGGUUCUCACAUCCAAAUGCCCAUUGCUUGAAAGUUUGAGGUUGACUAGGUGCGCCGAAUUUGAUAUUCUUGCAAUUGAUGCCGCCAAUCUCAAAUGUCUGACUUUCUUGGAACAUCAAAGUCCAUUUGCUUCAAGAAUGCCCCGAUACUUAGAAGCGUCAUUGUGUGGCUCAACUCAAGUCACGAGUUUUGGAGGAUCCCUCACCUUUUUGUUCCAAUCUUACAAAGUUAUUCCAUUUACAUGGCAUACCUGGAGGAGUGGAACUAGGCGGUUCAUAAAUAGAGUACUUAGCCAUGGGAGGUAUACCAGAGAAUCUGCCAACUGCUCUAUGCAAUGUCAAAUCUCUCUGUAUUUUGGAUAUGUCUUUCAGAAAUAUAAUGUUGACAAGGUUUCAAGUACAGGUUACGUGAUUACAAGCUGCGCUAAAUUACAAGAAGUUACAAUUGAAUGUGGAGUAGUAGGCAUUGCUGUGGAACCUGUUAUAUAUACAAUUAUUACGAGCUUAAUCAAUCUUGUGUGGUGUUGUAAAGCUGCUUCAAAGUGUGGAGAUGCGUUAUAUUAUUGGUUUUGAGAUGAAAAUGGAAUUUGUGAAGUUUAUAUUGGCAUGUGCACCUGUACUGAAGGAGAUUUUUGAUGGAUGAGAUGAAACAAUUCCAUUUAGAAUCAUGUUAGUUUCAAAUUUGAAGAAAUAUGUACAGGUAUGGAACUUGAUUAGUGAUUAUUUAUGGAUGAACUUGAUUUGUUCGAUUCAAUUUCCUUUUGAGAUCCCGAUAUGACCUUGCUCAAUUUCAACACAUUCUUAUAGAGUUUAUAUAGUAAUGACAGUCCUUGAAGCUCUUUUCGAAA